GGCAGAUAAGUGCGGUGGAUUUAAGCUCCAUAAAUAAAGUUUCAAACUUUCA
rnacentral:tRNA from 1 species